AAGGAAUCACUGGUGUCACCUUGGUCUGGGAAGUUUUGGGGCUGAGUAGCAGAAAAGGACAGGAAGCAGUUGCCCAAUGGAGAAACAAAGCUUGUUUAGAUUGCUUAGCUUUUAUGGCAUUUGCUGACAAAACAGACGUGCAGCUGACUGUGCUCUUGAGAGAUGGGGCGGAAUGGAGAAAAGUAACAGCAGAAAUGUUAGGAAUGGAAGUUAAAGGUUGAGAAUUCAAGAGGACUGCAGAUUCACAGUUCCAGGUUUUCGCUUGUAAUGGCCUACAGCACUACUGCAGGCUUCCUGAUGGAGAAACAAAUUUGUGCCAGCUUGCUGAAUAACCUCCGUAAUGUUCAGCCGAUCAGAACUUCUCCAUCUGUGUGUCCAUCCAUCCAAAGAACCAGAUGCUCUGAAAAACACUUCAUCCACCCCUCCUGAUGCAUCCAUAUCUGAAAUAUGUUGCUACCAUAACUGCAGUUUUCAGCCCUACAAGCAAAGCCAGCUAUUGACCUAUCUGGAGCUCUCAAUUGUUUAGUCACCUGCUCAGAGAAAAUGAAAUCACUAACUGGGAGCAUCAAUAAUAAAAACUCAUAGAAAGAAACCAUUUCACCAAGGCCUAAGUCCAGACAAUAACUGGAUUUCACCAGGAUGGGAAGCUAAGGCACAAUAUAUGUAACCUCUACUUUCAUCACUUCCAGAGAAGUGGUUACAAUUAAAAGAGACCUAUGAUCUUCUUCAUUGCUCUGCAAAGAUUCAUCCUUUGAGACCUAGCUGAAGUUCAAGCAACAUAUGGCCCUAUUUUCACCUCUUGAAUUGCAAGACCAAGUCAAAAUUAACUUAAGAGAUCAUGAUAUUUAUUAAGCAGCAUGCUACUAAAAAAUGAAUAUAACUAUUAGUAACCAACA
rnacentral:lncRNA from 7 species